AUUGAACGCUGGCGGCAUGCUUUACACAUGCAAGUCGAACGGCAGCGCGGGCUUCGGCCUGGCGGCGAGUGGCGAACGGGUGAGUAAUGCAUCGGAACGUGCCCAGUAGUGGGGGAUAGCCCGGCGAAAGCCGGAUUAAUACCGCAUACGACCUGAGGGUGAAAGCGGGGGACCGAAAGGCCUCGCGCUAUUGGAGCGGCCGAUGUCGGAUUAGCUAGUUGGUGGGGUAAAGGCUUACCAAGGCGACGAUCCGUAGCUGGUCUGAGAGGACGACCAGCCACACUGGGACUGAGACACGGCCCAGACUCCUACGGGAGGCAGCAGUGGGGAAUUUUGGACAAUGGGGGCAACCCUGAUCCAGCCAUGCCGCGUGCGGGAAGAAGGCCUUCGGGUUGUAAACCGAUUUUGUUCGGGAAGAAAUCCUCUGGGCUAAUACCCCGGGGGGAUGACGGUACCGGAAGAAUAAGCACCGGCUAACUACGUG
rnacentral:rRNA from 1 species